GGGGAGACCAAAAUAUCAGUAUCACUACUCGACAUCUACACAUCAUGGUUGAAGUAAGGAUGAUUUCUUAGUGCUUUUCAGAAGCAAAGCCCACUGGUUAAAAAUCUUAUUUUGUAAUAACUUGGAUACUAACUAUUUUUUUAUUCCUGACAGUAACUCUAAAAACUCAGCAGAUCAAGGAAGGACUCCAACUAAAGGUUCAUAUUGUUCUUUUUCUUUGUUAAAUACAAAUUAAAUUAGAAAGCUGAAGUUGGAGCUGAGAUACUACUUUUUUUACAUUUGUUUAUUUGUGUAUAUGUGUGUCCUGAUCCAGCUGUUCAUGCUUACAAAAUUAUUUAGCACUAUUUGGAAAGACUUUGGGCGACAGCUUAGUGAAAAAACUAACAUAUCAGAAAAUGCAGCUCAGUUUGUAGCAGUAAACACUUUGAGGCCGGAGGUUGGCAUAUUUGAAUGCAUUUUAACACAUUUGCACUUUUUAUGUUUAGCAAAGUCUACAUCAAAAAAGAAAAAGGACACAACUGCAAAAAAGUCUGUUCCAGCAAACAAGAAAAAAAGUGAGGGAAAAGCUGCAAAAAAAGUCCCAGGGGAGAAGAAAUCAAAGAGCCGAACAUCAGACAAAGUUGUGACUGCCGGUGCAGAUGAUUCAGACUCUGACAGCAGUCUGGAUGUGGAGAAGUGGAAGAAACUGCUCCAACAGAUGACAGAUGCCGACAUAGUCAAGAUGAAUGCCAUCAAUGCUCUGGACUCCUCUGCUCCUCAGCCCCCGAAAAAGAGAGUCAGGAAACCCCGGGCUAAGGCUCCGGUGAAAACUGGAACCCCAGUUCAACAGAGUAACGGGACAGUGAAACACAAUGAAGAGGGUGGCGAGAAACAUGUGACUGAAAAAAAAACAAAGACAAGCUCGACCAAGAAGAAUGUGACAAAAAAUGUGAUUUCUGUGACCUCAAGCACUCCGAGCCAAAAGCAGAACCUCUCAUCUCCAGCGGACAAACAAAUAAAAGAGCACAGGGAAACUGCAACUCCCAGUGAACAAACAACUGAUGACAGAACAUCUGAGCCCAAGAAGAAGAAGAAAAAGAAGGAGAAAAUUGCAGACAAGGAGGAAAAGAAUGAGACGGGUGAAGAUGGAAAAGAGGAAUGUGGCGAAGAGACGAGAAAAACCAAAGACACGAAGCAGGAGGAGGCUAAAAAACCUCCAAAGGUGAAUAAAAAGGCAAAAGAAACCAAAGAUGAUGCUGAAAGAAAUGAGACGAUUGAGACAAACACAAGAGGGAACGCUGACGAGAAAACCCUUUCAGAGUCAACGGUACAAGAAAAGAAGCAAAAGAAGAAGAAGAAAGAGAAGGCUGGUAGUGAGAGAAGUUUGGCACAGACUGGAAAUUCUGAGCAGGUAUCUGAGGAAGUGAAAAAAAACACAGAGAGCAAACAGGAAGAAAACAACCAAACCUCAGACCACAUAGCAGAAGAAAAGAAAGCCAAGAAGAAGAAAAAGAAGAAAACAGGGAGUGAGGAAAAUGCAUUGACAUUUGAGAGUGAAAGCAUUUCAAAGCAAAAAGCUGAAGACAUAGCAAAUAAUAUAGAGCAAAAAGCUGAAGAAAUUGAGACUUUAGAGCAGACGUCUGUAGAAAAGAAGGCAAAGAAGAGGAAAAGGGACUUCCUUAAUGGUGAGGAAAAUCCAGAACAAGUACUGCAUGAAAAGAAAUCAAAGAAGAAGAAAAAAGAAAAACCUGAUGAAGAAAGAGAGCAGGUAGUUGAGGAUAUAAUAGAUAAUAAGGUAGAGGAAACAACAGAGCAGGUCAAGAGUGUCAAGAAGAAAAAGAAAAAUAAUCCCGCCAACACAGAGCCGCUGCCUCCACCUGACGUAGAGGCAACGAGUUCUCCAACGGAGAAGAAGAGAAAAAAAAGCAAAUUGAAAUCAGCCGACAUCCCAGAAAUACCUGUAGAUUCAAUUCAAGACGCCAUGGCGACAGAAACCGCCUCAAGCGACUCCCACAAAAAGAAGAAGAAGAAAUCAUCAAAGAAUCAUCAAGAUGUGUGA
ensembl:lncRNA